rnacentral:misc_RNA from 1 species
GAUGAAGAACGCAGCGAAAUGCGAUAAGUAAUGUGAAUUGCAGAAUUCAGUGAAUCAUCGAAUCUUUGAACGCAUCUUGCGCUCCUUGGUAUUCCGAGGAGCAUGCCUGUUUGAGUGUCAUUUAACUUCUCAACCACAUUGGAUAUUUUUUUUCCGAUGCCGGCUUGGAUGUGGGGGUUGUUUGCAGGCUUUUUGUAACAAAAAAGGUCGGCUCCCCUGAAAUGUAUUAGAGGUAUCUGAGGCUAUUACUAUUAGGUGUGAUAAUUAUCUAUGCCUUUUGGGUAUGCCGCAUGAACAGAUUAUGCUGCUUCUAACGAAAACUAUUUUGAUGAAUUUGACCUCAAAUCAGGUAGGACUACCCGCUGAACUUAAGCAUAUCAAUAAGCGGAGGA